rnacentral:rRNA from 1 species
CCCUUAGAGUUUGAUCCUGGCUCAGGAUGAACGCUGGCGGCGUGCUUAACACAUGCAAGUCGAACGGGAAACCUUUUAUUGAAGCUUCGGCAGAUUUAGCUGGUUUCUAGUGGCGGACGGGUGAGUAACGCGUGGGUAACCUGCCUUAUACAGGGGGAUAACAACCAGAAAUGGUUGCUAAUACCGCAUAAGCGCACAGGACCGCAUGGUCUGGUGUGAAAAACUCCGGUGGUAUAAGAUGGACCCGCGUUGGAUUAGCUAGUUGGCAGGGUAACGGCCUACCAAGGCGACGAUCCAUAGCCGGCCUGAGAGGGUGAACGGCCACAUUGGGACUGAGACACGGCCCAGACUCCUACGGGAGGCAGCAGUGGGGAAUAUUGCACAAUGGGGGAAACCCUGAUGCAGCGACGCCGCGUGAAGGAAGAAGUAUCUCGGUAUGUAAACUUCUAUCAGCAGGGAAGAU